rnacentral:rRNA from 1 species
AUUGAACGCUGGCGGCAGGCCUAACACAUGCAAGUCGAGCGGAUGAAGGGAGCUUGCUCCUGGAUUCAGCGGCGGACGGGUGAGUAAUGCCUAGGAAUCUGCCUGGUAGUGGGGGAUAACGUCCGGAAACGGGCGCUAAUACCGCAUACGUCCUGAGGGAGAAAGUGGGGGAUCUUCGGACCUCACGCUAUCAGAUGAGCCUAGGUCGGAUUAGCUAGUUGGUGGGGUAAAGGCCUACCAAGGCGACGAUCCGUAACUGGUCUGAGAGGAUGAUCAGUCACACUGGAACCGAGACACGGUCCAGACUCCUACGGGAGGCAGCAGUGGGGAAUAUUGGACAGUGGGCGAAAGCCUGAUCCAGCCAUGCCGCGUGUGUGAAGAAGGUCUUCGGAUUGUAAAGCACUUUAAGUUGGGAGGAAGGGCAGUAAGUUAAUACCUUGCUGUUUUGACGUUACCAACAGAAUAAGCACCGGCUAACUUCGUG